rnacentral:rRNA from 1 species
AGGAUGAACGCUGGCGGCGUGCUUAACACAUGCAAGUCGAACGAUGAAGGCUGGAGCUUGCUCUGGCUGGAUUAGUGGCGAACGGGUGAGUAACACGUGAGUAACCUGCCCCAGACUCUGGGAUAAGCGCUGGAAACGGCGUCUAAUACCGGAUACGAGCUUCCACCGCAUGGUGAGGAGCUGGAAAGAAUUUUCGGCUGGGAUGGACUCGCGGCCUAUCAGCUUGUUGGUGAGGUAAUGGCUCACCAAGGCGACGACGGGUAGCCGGCCUGAGAGGGUGACCGGCCACACUGGGACUGAGACACGGCCCAGACUCACGGAGCAGCAGUGGGAAUAUUGCACAAUGGGCGCAAGCCUGAUGCAGCAACGCCGCGUGAGGACGAAAGGCCUUACGGUGUUAAACCGUCUUUAACGUAGGAACGAAGCGAGGUGUUAGUUCUACUUCAUGACGUACCUGACGAGAAAAGCAACGGCUAACUACGUAGCCAGACG